rnacentral:rRNA from 1 species
UACGAAGGGGGCUAGCGUUGCUCGGAAUUACUGGGCGUAAAGGGCGCGUAGGCGGAUGGCACAGUCAGAUGUGAAAUUCCCGGGCUUAACCUGGGGGCUGCAUUUGAUACGUGUUGUCUAGAGUGAGGAAGAGGGUUGUGGAAUUCCCAGUGUAGAGGUGAAAUUCGUAGAUAUUGGGAAGAACACCGGUGGCGAAGGCGGCUACCUGGACCGGUUCUGACGCUGAUGCGCGAAAGCGUGGGUAGCAAACAGG